rnacentral:misc_RNA from 1 species
UGUAUUGCCUGGAGCGUAUUGUGGGUUUCUUGUGUUGCAUACCUAAAUGAUGGCAUUGUUUUGACCGAUUAAAGUCCCUUUUUGUUGUGUGUUGCAUUUGUGACGCAUGAUGAACCUUGAAGUGGUCUCUAUGAUCCAUUCUGUUGAUGCACAUGCAUUGAUCGUGUGGCCCRUUGAGUUUUGUUUGGUCUCUUGGAUACAGAACAUGAUGUGGUAUUGGGUUCUUUCAUGAUCCUUGUUUUGCCCUUGUUUGCUAUUCUCUAAACGACGGUUCAUGCACGCCUAGGCUUGUACCUGCGUGAUGUUCUAUGUCGAAGAGGAAUGCUACCUGGUUGAUCCUGCC